rnacentral:sRNA from 1 species
GAUGCCAGGGGCAAAAGUCUGUAUCCAUGUGAGCUUGCUCACUAGUGGAUACAAGACCUUGAGCCCCGCCCCGAUAUGAGCAUAAAAGCAGGAUGCAAUCCUGCGAUAUGCGAAUAUCAGCGCGGAUUGCGAAAGUGCAGGGCACGAAGCAAUCUGCAGGCAUC